rnacentral:rRNA from 1 species
UACGGGGGGAGCAAGCGUUGUUCGGAUUUACUGGGCGUAAAGGGCGCGUAGGCGGCCACUGCAAGUCGGUUGUGAAAUCUCCGGGCUUAACCCGGAAAGGUCAAUCGAUACUGCAGGGCUAGAGUGCAGAAGGGGCAACUGGAAUUCUCGGUGUAGCGGUGAAAUGCGCAGAUAUCAGGAAGAACACCAAUGGCGAAAGCAGCUCUCUGGGACGGUACUGACGCUGAGACGCGAAAGCGUGGGGGAGCGAACAGG